CAGCAGACACAUUCCAGCCAAUCAGCAGCAGACCCUCCCUCCCAGACCCUCCCACCUCCUGGACAGCAUCCAUUGUGAAGCUGCAUUCUUAGUGAGCUGUCCAGGAGAUGGGAGGGUCUGGGAGGGAGGGUCUAGGAGGCUGAUUGGCUGGAAUGUGUCUGCUG